GACGAACGCUGGCGGCGUGCUUAACACAUGCAGUCGAACGGAAAGGCCCUGCUUUUGUGGGGUGCUCGAGUGGCGAACGGGUGAGUAACACGUGAGUAACCUGCCCUUGACUUUGGGAUAACUUCAGGAAACUGGGGCUAAUGCCGGAUAGGAGCUCCUGCUGCAUGGUGGGGGUUGGAAAGUUUCGGCGGUUGGGGAUGGACUCGCGGCUUAUCAGCUUGUUGGUGGGGUAGUGGCUUACCAAGGCUUUGACGGGUAGCCGGCCUGAGAGGGUGACCGGCCACAUUGGGACUGAGAUACGGCCCAGACUCCUACGGGAGGCAGCAGUGGGGAAUAUUGCACAAUGGGCGGAAGCCUGAUGCAGCAACGCCGCGUGCGGGAUGACGGCCUUCGGGUUGUAAACCGCUUCCGCCUGUGACGAAGCGUGAGUGACGGUAAUGGGUAAAGAAGCACCGGCUAACUACGUG
rnacentral:rRNA from 1 species